UUGUUGCUUUUUUUUCAAUGACUUUUCAGUGUGUGUAACAUUUUCCAGAAGAACUUGUUUUACUGUAAACCCUGUGACAUACAGUAGCAGUAUAACGCUUCUGGAAACUUGUCUUGGCCCCAGUAAAGCCCAGAGAAGGCACUACAAGCAAUGCCAAGCACUGUGGCCGGACUCUGACACUGACAUGGUAGAAUACAACAGGUGAAAAAAGAAACAGCUGGCCCUAAAUGAAUACAGUACUAAUAAAUAAAACACUUUGGAGAGGAGAAAAAUGACAAUCUCCAUGGAAAGCUAAGGAAACCUCCUAAAUAACUCAAGAUUUUUUAAUAUGGCCUCUUCAUGAUGUAACUCACUUUACAAUUUAGUUAUGGGUGCAGUAUUUAUACAGUAUAAAUAGAUAUAUUCCAAGAUAAUUUUGUAAAGUGGGCAAUGAAGCAUUCAUCUUUAUGAUUGGUUCACAGAUUACUGUCAACUCUGCCCAGCUUUUUUUUUAAAUAGGCCAUUCUGUCAUUCACCAACUGAAAUAUCGUCUUAUAUGACAUUUCAUGGAUUACUGUUGGACCAAUCACAAUACGCAACUGGCAAGGGUUUUACCUCUUUAGAGGCUAUGGUUCUAAAGAGAGAAGUACAUGAAAGUAUGUUAUUUCAUUGUAAAAAAAACAUUUGGUUUGUUUUUUAUGUUGUUUAAUAUCCUUUCUUCAUUGCCCUGUUGCAACAGAAAGAAUAAGGUUCUGGAUCCCGAGAUGAAGUUAAACAGAAGAGUUUAUUGCAUGCAAGGAACAAUAAAGCCGAAGUCUUGUUUCCCGCAAGAAACAACAAAACAGAAGUAUUGUUCAAGGUGCCGGUACAUACUUUAGGUUUAUAUAGUCCUUCCUUGCUGCUUCUGACGACACUGUUAUUAUGGUUAAGGGGGGAGGUCACGUGUUUGGCCAGUUUACAGCUUUUUGGCCAAAUGGUCAGAGAUUAAGUCCCCAGGGGGUUCCCUAGCUCUCCUAGCUCGCAUCUGGAAUCCUUAUCAGUUAACCCCCUAACUACCAUAAACUCCUGUUGCUUAGAAGUCUAAUCUUCAUGCAGAAAGGACUUAAAGUUAACAUCUUGUAUCCUUCUUCAGCCCCUAUACCAGUGCUAUUCUGAAAUCAAGAAACUCUGAGCUUAUUGGCAAGAGAAAGUGUAGUGGAGCUGCGAAGAGAGAGUAGGUGCUCUCUUUCUACUUUCGUUAUUCUUUUUGUAGGCCUUUCAGCACUUUGAAAAAUAAAUUGUCUCCCGAAGUGAUUUACGUUACCUGACUAUGAAGCAUGGUACUGAAGUCUGUUGUUUCAGUGAUUUUUUCUUCAGAUUGUUUUAGUAACUUCUCCACACAACAAGAGUUGUGUAGCUCUUCCACAACCUUCUGCUGCUCCUGGGAACCUCAACACUUCGGUGGCCAGCUAUGACUCUGAAGAUUCAUUAUCAUGUUGAAGGUCGCUUCAUUUAUCCAGGCUCUACCUAAUAGGUUGGGACCAGCUCCUACUGCUACCCAAUGCUGCUGAAAACAAAGUCUCCCAAGAAAAGCAGUGGACUCAGUAUCAGUCUUGUUGCAAUGACUUUGAAAGUGCAGGUAGGAGGAAGAAUGGUGUCUUGAAGGCUUGCAACAGAAGCACCACAGUGUAUUCAGUACAGUAUUGAUUUUAUUAUUGUUUUGAUGUCUAUUUUGGACUUCCUUCCCUGUUGCUCAACUAUCAUUUGGUGUUUUAUUUGUAACAGCAUU